AUCACAAAAUUAAUAUUCCUUCUUAAUUCUUAAUUAAGUUAUUAAUUAUUCGCAGUGAUGGCAAUCGUAGGAGGCCUUGUCGAUGUUCCAUUCGAAAACAAAGUCGAGUUUGAUGAUCUUGCUCGUUUUGCUGUCCAAGAUUACAAUCAGAAAAAUGAUUCUAGUUUGGAGUUUAAAAAGGUUUUGAACGUGAAGCAACAAAUAGUUGCUGGAAUAAUGUACUAUAUAACAUUUGAGGCAACUGAAGGUGGAAACAAGAAAGAAUAUGAAGCCAAGAUUUUGCUGAGGAAAUGGGAGGACUUGAAGAAAGUUGUAGGAUUUAAGCUUGUUGGUGAUGACAGUACAAUGCCUGGGGGCAUUGUCAAUGUUCCAAACCCAAACAACACCGAGUUUCAAGAACUUGCUCGUUUUGCUAUUCAGGAUUAUAAUAAAAAACAGAAUGCUCAUUUGGAGUUUGUAGAAAAUUUGAAUGUUAAAGAGCAAGUUGUUGCUGGAAUCAUGUACUAUAUAACACUUGCGGCAACUGAUGAUGCUGGAAAGAAGAAAAUAUACGAAGCUAAGAUUUGGGUGAAGGAAUAGGAAGACUUCAAGAAAGUUGUAGAAUUCAAGCUUGUUGGUGAUGAUAUUGCAAAACUUGGGGGCAUUACUAAUGUUCCAUUCCCAAAUAACCCCGAGUUCCAAGAUCUUGCUCGUUUUGCUAUUCAAGGUUAUAAUAAGAAAGAGAAUGUUCAUUUGGAGUUUGUAGAAAAUUUGAACGUUAAACAGCAAGUUGUUGCUGGAAUGAUGUACUAUAUAACACUUGCGGCAAUUGAUGCUGGAAAGAAGAAAAUAUACGAAACAAAGAUUUGGGUGAAGGAAUGGGAGGACUUCAAGAAAGUUGUAGAAUUCAAGCUUGUUGGUGAUGAUAGUGCAAAAACUGGGGGCAUUAUCAAUGUUCCAAACCCAAACAGCCCCGAGUUCCAAGAUCUUGCUCGUUUUGCUGUUCAGGAUUAUAAUAAUACACAGAAUGCUCAUUUGGAGUUUGUAGAAAAUUUGAAUGUGAAAGAACAACUUGUUUCUGGAAUGAUGUACUACAUAACACUUGCGGCAACUGAUGCCGGGAAUAAGAAAUAAUAUGAAGCCAAGAUUUGGGUGAAGGAAUGGGAAGACUUCAAGAAAGUUAUAGACUUCAAGCUUGUUGGUAAUGAUAGUGCGAAAAUACUUGGGGGCUUUACCGAAGUUCCAUUCCCAAACAGCCCCGAGUUUCAAGAUCUUACACGUUUUGCUAUUCACCAAUAUAAUAAGAACCAUAAUGCUCAUCUGGAGUUUGUAGAAAAUUUGAAUGUGAAAAAACAAGUUGUUGCUGGAAUGUUGUACUACAUAACAUUUGCGGCAACAGAUGGUGGAAAGAAAAAAAUAUAUGAAGUUAAGAUUUGGGUUAAGGUAUGGGAGAACUUCAAGAAAGUUGUUGAAUUCAAGCUUGUUGGUGAUGAUAGUGCAAAGUCUGGGGGCAUUAUCAAUGUUCCAUUCCCAAACAACCCCGAAUACCAAGAUCUUGCUCGUUUUGCUGUUCAAGAUUAUAAUAAGAAAGAGAAAGCUCAUUUGGAGUUUGUAGAAAAUUUGAAUGUUAAGGAACAAGUUGUUGCUGGAAUGAUGUACUAUAUAACACUUGUGGCAAUUGAUGAUGCUGGAAAGAAGAAAAUAUAUGAAGCUAAAAUUUGGGUUAAGGAAUGGGAGAACUUCAAGAAAGUCAUAGAAUUCAAGCUUUUUAUUGGUGAUGAUGUCCCAAUACUCGGAGGCAUUAUCAAUGUUCAAGGCAUAAACAGCCUUGUGUUCCAAGAUCUUGCUCGUUUUGCUGUUCAGGAUCAUAAUAAGAAAGAGAAGGCUCAUUUGGAGUUUGUAGAAGUUUUGAAUGUGAAGGAACAAGUUGUUGCGGGAAUGAUGUACUAUAUAACACUUGCGGCAACUGAUGCUUGAAAGAAGAAAAUAUAUGAAGCUAAGAUUUGGGUGAAAGAAUGGGAGGACUUCAAGAAAGUUGUAGAAUUCAAGCUUGUUGGUGAUGAUAUUGCAAAACUUGGGGGCAUUACUGACGUUCCAUUCCCAAAUAACCCCGAGUUCCGAGAUCUUGCUCGUUUUGCUGUUCAAGAUUAUAAUAAGAAAGAGAAUGCUCAUUUGGAGUUUGUAGAAGUUUUGAAUGUGAAAGAACAAGUUGUUGCUGGAAUGAUGUACUAUAUAACACUUGUAGCAACUGAUGAUGGAUAUAAGAAAAUAUACAAGACCAAGAUUUGGGUGAAGGAAUGGGAGAAUUUCAAGGAAGUUCAGGAAUUCAAGCAAAUUGUUUAUGCCACAAAAUGAAAUAAAACUACUCUUAUGUUGGUGUGAAGGAAAGCCAGUUGUUUGGUAUGAAGUUAUUAUUAUGCUUGUGUGAAAUAAAGCCAGUUGUUUGGCAUGCAAUUACUGUUAUGUUUGUGAAAAAUAAAGUCAGAUCUAUGUAUCUGACAGUAUUUGAAUGUCUUGUUGCAAGCAUAUUUGAAUAAUUUAAAGUUUGUAAGAUUAAUAAAUGUGUUUUUAUGUGAUGAUAAAUAUU